GGGGCGGGCCGGAGCGGGGGGCGGGGCCUCGUCUGCGCAGGCUCUCCGCAGGGUCGGCCUCGGGGCGGGGCGGGCCCCGGGGCGUGGCCAGCGUCUGCUCUGCCGCUGGACCGCAGCGUCCCGGAGCCGCUGGAGCCCCGGUUUGGACCGCAUCAUUUUUCACCUGGACUGCUGCAGCUGUUCCUAGAGGACCCGUCGUUCUGCCUCCUUUCUCGCUCUCUUCCAUCCAGCUUUCAUGUGCAACUGUGGGAAUCUUUCCCAAAAGCAAAUUUCUGAUGACUGUAUUCACCUGCUUUAAGGACUAGGCUAAAACCCACAUCUCUUCAUCCUUCUAAAAGUCAGAAAGAAGGCUAGGAUGCCCUCCAGCUGUGCCGCUGUUCCCCAGGGUCCUUGGAAGUCCUGGCCAGAGCAACAAGGGGGAGCCCUUGCUGGGAAAACAUAGUCCAGAAGGACAUGGACUUCCGGUAUCGCAAUGCGAGAUCCUUGAGCUGCGGCUCUCGGAAGCAUGAGCCACUUCAUUCUGUCUUCGUGACGUCGAUCCUCAACCAGUUUGAGAGUCUCUUCCUGUGAAAAGGGAUGUGCAUCAGGGCGCGGAGAGCCCCGGCUGGAAGCCCCUCCCACUGCUCCUGAGGCCGCGUGGGCUCACCGCUGCCCCCUCAGGGCAGGCCUCCGACUGCAGGCAGAGCCUGAGGUGCCCAGGGCGGGGCAGCCUGGCCUUCCUGAGACCUCUGGCCUCUCUGCAUGGGAUCCAGCCUCCGUCGUUGUCCAGAGAGGAUAGUCAGAGCCUUGGGCAGCUGCACCUGACCAGCUUGCCUGCUCUGUAUUUUUUUCCUUUAAAAUUUUUGUUUAUUUAUUUUGAGAAUUUCAAUUUCUAUCUUCUGCUUAGGAGAGGCGAGCCGUCGUUUGGACAGAGUCCACAUCUGUCCUGGACUCUCCUGUCACUAGGUUUUUGCCCAAGACUCGGUUGGCAAUGAGCUCCAAGCUCCCGGCCUGGCAAGUCUGCUGGGAAAGAGAGCGUCCUUCCCAGUCAUUCCAGCAAAAGUCUCAGGACUGAGCCCCAUUGUUCUGUCACGGGUCUCGUGACCAUCCCUGGACCAGUCAUUGAGGCUGGGGAGACACAGGGCUCUGAUUGGCCAGCCUGUCAUGAGAGGAGUGGAGUUAAUUCGAACCCCAUCACCUGGGCUGAGAGAUAGAAAGGGGGCUGCCCCAAGGAGAGGGCAGGGCCGUUCCCAGGAGGAGGGAGACGGCCUGCUGGGAAGGGCGCAGUCCACCGACUUCCACAGUAGGUUUUCCUCGAAAUCCCAGAUCCAGGGCUCUUCCAGGUAGGCUGCCAGCGCCUUCUCAUUUUAUUCCCUACCCUGCCCUGAGAGGUCAGCGUUCGAGAGAAGGCCACUGAGGUUCGCACAGAUUAAGCACCUCGCCGGGGUGGGGGGUGGGGGGCAGCUCCUGAAGGGGCCUGGGCUGCCCGUGUGCCCCUUUAUCAUCUUAGACCUGCCUCCCCACUCUUCCUUCUGCCAG
rnacentral:lncRNA from 1 species